rnacentral:lncRNA from 1 species
GGAGAGAAUAGGGGAGUAUUAGGAAUUGAAAUGGAGCAAUUAUAUGUAAUUAAAAAUAUGUCAAAACAAAUCUCUCUAUUAUGUGUAACUGUAAUACACUAGUUAAAAAAAAACAUUAAACUCAUCAGUAUUUAUCCAAAAGAAAUAAAAUCAGCAUACUAUAGUGACACAAGCACAUCAAUGUUUAUAGCAGCACAAUUCACACUAGCCAAGUCAUGGGACAAGUCCAAGUACACAUCAACAGAUGAACGGAUAAAGAAAAUGUGGUAUUUAUAUACAAUGGAGUUUUAUUCAACCAUAAAGAAAAAUAAAAUUAUGGCAUUUUCCAGUUAAUGGAUGGAAAUGAAGAAUAUCCUGCUAAGUGAAAUAAACCAGCCACAGAAAAAUCAAGGAUUGAAUGUUUUCUUUCAUAUGCAGAAGCUACAGCAAAAUAAGGAGGGGAAAGUAGGAGUCAGACCUCAUAAGGAUAGGCCCAUCAGUCAAAUCAAAAAAGAAAAUUGAGAGGGAGGGGAAGAGACAGAAAAGGGAGCAAAUGCAAAAUGAAUUAGACAAUGAAAGAAUUUUAGAGUGUGUAUGUGUUUAAAUAUACCACAGUGAAUUCCACCUUUGUAUAACUACAAAGUACCAAAUAAAAAUAAAUAAAUAGAUGGAAGGAAGACCAGGGGAUCAGAG